CUGCUAGACCACUAGAUUGUACUCCAUCAGCUAAGGCAAAUCCAGCUCCUAGAAGUAAAAUUAGGUUCCAUGGUAAUUUUUUGCAUUCAUUCCAAUUCAUUAGUUUUUCUCCAUUUUGCUUCAUAUUUGGGAUUAUGAACAAUAAAACAGCAGCCAAAACCUACAGUAAUUGCAUGGCAUUUUUUUACGAGAAAUGAUGUUUGGAGAUCAAAAUUUUGUUGUCGUAUAUGGUGUCAAGUGUUUUUUGUGUGUGAUUUUGAAAUGUGUGUAAAGAAUAGAAAGUAAAAAACUAAAUUGUAUUUUUGCCCCAUUAACUUUCGCAAACGUACGAUUUUAGCCUUCUAAUUUUUAUAUAAUAGCACUUUUGACUUCAUAACUUUAGUCUUUUUUGCAAAAUUUUGGUCCCCAUUGAUUUUGAUCAAGUCAACUCAUACGUGGAUAAUGAUUCACAUGUCACGUUAGCAAAUGUGACAGACAUAUUGACGUGACAUGUGAGACAUUGCCCACAUGUGCAAAACAUUUUGAUGUGGCAUGUGUGUCAUUAUCCAGGUGUGCUUUGACUUUGUCAAAAUCAGUGGGAUCCAACAUUUUGCAAAUGGGGCUAAAAUUAGAUGGCCAAAAAUGCUAUUAUAAAAGUUAGUGUCAAAAUUGAAUGUAUGUGAAAGUUAAAGCGGCAAAAGUUUAAUUUAGUCCACUAAAAAAUAUGAGAUAAAGACAAACACAUUCGUUAUUAUACAUUAUCAGUAUUAUUUAACUUCUUAGUUCAUAUAACCCUCGGUUUAAACCAAUUAAAUUCCCAAUUUUGAACUUUUAGACCAUCUCAAAUGGUGUAGUAUCUAUUAGAUACUCAUGGUACUUAUUAGGUACUACCAUUGAAGAAAUACUCAUUUGACUUGAGUACCUAAUAGGUACUAGUUCUACAAUAAGCAAUAAUACCUAUUUUGUUUUAGUGAGUCUCAUUUAUAAUGAUGUAUAGUUAUUGGUGAGAUGUGUUAUUGGUAGGACCUAUUUAGAACUUUUUAAUAGAUGUUGGGUUGGAAGGAUUGAGUACUUAUUAGGUACUAUUAUUAAAAAAAUAUAAAUGAAUGAUGUGUACACGUGAGACCCAUUUAGGUACUCAAAAAUGAAUAUCUCCAUUGUGGAUGCUAUGAUCCAUAUUUUUGAUUCCCUAAAGAAAAAAAUGAUCCAUAUUUUUCAUGACCAAAACACAUGGUAUUUUUUGUGAAGAUCAAUCAAAUUAUGACUUUAUUAUUGAUUUUUUUUAAUAGGGAUACUUACACUAAUGCUUCCAUCACCAACAAGGCCAUGGAACAAAACUCCCCAUCCAGGUAAGUCAUCCGAGAUUCUUCUUGUCAUCCAUAGUAUUAUCAACAACUGUAUUUUUAACCACAUUGCUUCGUUAAGUCCUUGGAAAACAAAAUAUAUUAAUUACCCCAUUUUUCCAAAAAAAAUAAAAUACUCCAUCAUCAUGAUUAUAUUAAUGAUAAAAAAUAAUCUAGCUAGAUAUACGGCAUACCCCAAACACACAUAACACCAUCUUUUCAGCAAAAGCCAUUGGACCUGCAAAAAUCCGUAACAAAGUUACAAAUGAACUUGUUUAGGAGCAUAAGUUAGAAUAUUUUUUUGUCAUUUUAUAUUAUAUAAAAUGGUUUAGAUGGGUUGGGUCUCGGAAACCACAGGUCUCAAGGCUCAAAGAGCAUUGACAGGUGUAUUUACGGAUCAUACCAAUUGUAAGCGGAAAUUAAAAGUACGUCCUUGCAAGAUAUGAGUCAACUCUUUAUCAACUGAAUCAAUUUUUAUUUAUCACUUCUACUUCAAAAGAUAAAUAUGGGUAAAUAUGUUUUAAAUUCUUAAAACAAUUACAAUCUUUUGAUUUAUUUUUUGUCAAGAUUAUGAUCUUUUGAUUUUAAUCUCUACAAAAAAAAAUUGUGGAAUUUUACUUCAUAUUUUGCUUUUAUGACUCAAGUACAUAUAUUUUUGCUGUACAAAUCAAAUAAAAUUUCGAAGUACAAUUAAACAUUUUUUUUCUUGGAUAUGUAUAUGGACUAUAAAUUUACAUAGUCAAUUAGUCAUCAUUUUAUAAGUACUAAAAAUAUAUCUUAAAAACUAUAUAAAAGAAAUUAUUGUGUAUUGAUCACUAUUUCUAUAGGAUGCCGUUGGGAACUAGCACCACAACAGUAGGUGAUCCAAAUUCAAGAAUGUGAGAUCUAUGAGGUCGUUUGUUAUAGCUUAUUUUAGAAAAAAAUUAUUUUUUUAUAAAAAUAAUCACUUUUAAUUGUUUUGCAACUGUUUGCUAUAAAUUUUUAAAAUAAUCAAAAGCUAAAAAUAAUCAGAAAAUAGCUAAAAAUGAGAAGCUAAUUGUCAUAUAUUGUCUCAAGUCUCAAUAAUCCCCUAGGUACAACUUGCUUAAUAAAUAAAAGUGAGAUUUUGCAAAGAUUGAGGAUUCAUAUUUAGCAAAUAAUGUUUAAUUUUAGAGACAUCUAUUCAACAUGAAAAACGUGAUAAAAAAAAUUAGAAAGUGAUCAAUCAAUAGUUACUAUUUGUAGAAAAUACAAAUAGGUCAAAAUCAUCUACUAAUACUAUAAUAUGUUAUGUCAUACACUCUUUGUGAAAAAUAAUUUCAUUGACCUUUAGCACUUGUCUAUUUUUAAUUCCUUAUUCAUCAUUGUCUCAUGUCAAUUGUAACGCUGUGUUUGUUUCAAUGAAAACUAGGUUAAACAAGAUAGGGGACAAAAUGUAAUAUUUUUAUCUAGCUAGUUGUGGUGGAGAGGAAAAAAAAUUGUUUUUCCAAUUAGAAGGGUGUAAUGAAGAAACACCUCUCUUCACUUUUUUUUUGCUCCACUUAAUAAAGUACAAUGAAAAGCGUAGCACUUCUGCAAUAUUCAAUGGUGCCGACGCUCAACAUUGAUGGAUGACAUCUCAUAACGACCACCCACCAAUGUCUCAACGGCUCCAUUGUCCCUCAUAUAUAAGGUGUUCUCAUCCAACACCUCAAGGCACAUAAUUCUUAUCCUAAAAACAUUUCAUUUCAUGUUUUACAUUAAUGUCAGAGUGUUUGCAGGUAACCCCGUUAAUUUUAACAUUGACAAUUCGUUACUCGACGCCGGACGCCGAUCACUUCUCUAUGUCAGCAACAUCAUAAAAAAUAUCGCCAAAUGCAUUGAUGAAGAUAAUAUGAGAUAUUUUAAAAAUUCAAGAACAAAAUAUUUAAAAAUGAUGUUUAAAAAUAAAAUAAAAUGAGUAAACCCAAAUGGUAGAAAACACAAAAUGGAGAACCAAAACUAUAUUAAAGACAUAAAUAAAAAUAUGUUUGAAGAGAGAAAUUUACCAAGAGCUUCAAGAUCCCUCUUCAAGUGUUCUCUAUCCAAAUAAUUAGACAAAUCCCUACUCAAGUGCUUUCUAACAUAAAGCAAACAAAGUAUACACCAAAAGCAUAGAAGCAACAAAACAGCCACAGGGAACCCAAAAAAAAACCAAGUGUUGAAACUUAUUGGCUUUGCUUUUGGUUCAAGAUUUUUCCACAUUCCAAUUAUUAUCAAGUUCACACCUGUUCCUGUUAUAGUGCUUAUCCCUCCAAUUUGUGUAGCAUACACCACUGUUAGAAUCACUGCUCNNNNNNNNNNNNNNNNNNNNNNNNNNNNNNNNNNNNNNNNNNUCUGAUUGCUCAUUUGCCGGCGGCAGCCGAUGUAGGAUUCCGGUUGCUACUGGCAUCAUCAUUACCGCUGCUAUCACAUUGUGUACCCACAUGCUCACGAAAAAUGUGGUUGCGCAUAGACCUAAUAGUAGCAUUGCUGGAUUCAAUGGAUCGCCACAAAACACCAAGGUUAUCUGUAUAUGCGUAUCAUGUUAGCAAGUCAUUUAUUGAUGAUCUAUUUUUGCAAAAUAUUCAGUGAAUUUGUCAAUAACUAAUAUCUAUCGAAAAAUUUGACCGAACACAUUUAGCAAGGUCUCAUCCACCCAUGUCAGAAAAGUCCAAGCUUCAAUCUUUAUUUUAUUUUUUAAACAGUUAAAAUUAAUAAUUAUUUGUUAAUUUUACUAUUCAGACUAAAACUCUAGUCUUUUUAACUAUUUAAUUUCUUUAACUUUUGACUCUCUUUAAUUAAUUUCUUUAACUUUUAACCCAAACUAUUUAAGAGCUUCAAAUAUGGGUCCGUUUGAUCUGCAAAAUAUAAAUACUGGACAGAACAGUACAGGACAGUACAAGACAGAACAGCACAAGACAAACGUUUAAGGUAUUGAACAAACUUUGUGUUGUACGAUGUUUGGUGGACAAAAGGUUAUUUUGAUAUUUUAGACAACUUGUGCUGAGGACAAAAAGUUGUCCCGUAGUUCUGUGGGGGACGAGAAUUUCAAGUUUUGUCCUGUCCCUUGGACCCCAGUUUGUCCAGUACCAGGAAUAGUUUUAAAAUCAAACACAGUAUAGCAGGAGUUGUCCUGUCCAGUCCCUUAUUUUUUAGCAGAUCAAACGCACCGUAUGUUUUACAACCAAUAAUUGAGCAUAUCCACAAAGAUCACAUGACAAACAUAAAGUAAAUCCUAUCAAUUAAUAUUAAAUCAAGGUUAAUUAAAACUUAGAAACAUAAACAACAAUUUUACAACUAAUAAUUGAGCAUAUCCACAAAGAUCACAUGACAAACAUAAAGUAAAUCCUAUCAAUUAAUAUUAAAUCAAGAUUAAUUAAAACUUAGAAACAUAAACAACAAAAAACAUAAACAACUGCAAAAUUAAUGUUUAAAAAAACAUAUAUUGUCUACAAUUUAGUUAUUUAAAUGGUUCAAUUGUAGUUUUGUCCAAAUUUAAGCUAUUUAUGCAUAAAAAAUAAUCUUUUUUUAGUAUUAAGUAUUAACCAUCUGGUUUUCGAGGAAGGGGCCCUCAGGUUCUCUCAAACAAUUCGCUCUAGAGAAAACUCAUUAACCAUCCGAACACAAUGUCUUGAUUAAAAAAAAUUCAAAGCGGUUACUUGGAGGAAUCAUCCGGUUUAAUUAAUAUCCAUUUCGAUGUUAAAAUUAUAGUACAAAAUUUAAACUUUGGAAUAAUGUACUCACAUUCAAAGCCAAUCUUUUGUGCACGUUGUAGCGUUCUACAGCAAGAGCAAGUAUGAAACUUCCCAAAACAAGUGCAAUAACAUCAUCCAUAUAAGAAUGAGCAACAGUAUCAGCUGAAGCAAUUCCAAACAGAGGAAACAAAAAUAGAGGACACAUAGAAGUAACAGGAAGUGGAACAGCCUCAGUGAUCCACCAUGUGAAAACCCAAACAAUCACACCAACCAUUUUUGUGCUUGUUGUAGGAGCAUCUAGUUUCACUAGGAGACAUAUAAUAAUUGAUAACAAAGGUCCUAAAAUGACAUAAAAGUUUUUAAGGUUUAAAAUUGAUGAUGUUAUUGUAAAGGAAUUGAUGUUGGGUGUUUGUUGGAUCGGUUCGUCGUGAAGGGGUAGAAGUGGUGCCUCAAGAAUGGGUGAUGGAGUGUCUUCUCCGGCCAUGUUGGAAAAAUGAGAGCAGAAAUGGUGGCUAUGAUUGGAAAGGACAUGUUUGGGAGAUAUAAAUAAAAGUGUGGGGAUUUUAUUCAUGAAUAUUUUAUCAUGGGAUACGAAAGUAGCCAAGAUAUUUUCAUCAAUAAAAUUAAAAUAGUAAUUGAUCUAAGUGAUAGAAGAACUAGUCGGAUGUCGAAUAGUGAACCGUCAAGGUUGAAGUUGGUGGAGGCUUCUGCAAACACUUUAACGUUCAAGUUAGUAUAANNNNNNNNNNNNNNNNNNNNNNNNNNNNNNNNNNNNNNNNNNNNNNNNNNNNNNAGCGCCGUUUGGAGCCAUUGAUGAGUGGAGUUGUAACAAUCGAUGUUCACCAAUGUCGAGGUGAUUAAUGGUUGUUGGCAGGCGUUACAUUUCGUUUUAGUUUUAAUUGCCUAAGGAUUACUUCAUUGAUCGGAAGGCUUUUCUUACCACAGUCUUUUAUUUGUAGAAGAUGCAUUCCAUUUAAUUGUUCAUGAAUAGCUAAACUUUCUAAAUUUUAUGAACAAAGUUCAAAUUUCAUGCGUACCGGCUGUUAGAUAUAUAUAACACUAAUAACACUGUUAUUAGUAAUUUUUUUUGCUUAAUUACACUUAUUUAGUUUAAAUUAAGUAAAUUUUAGAUUUUUUAAAUUAAUUAGAACUAAAAAUUAACCGUAACUUUGAGUUAGGUUUAGCAUUUACACUAAUGUUUUGUCAAAAAAGAAGAAUGAAUAUAUUUAUCUAAAAUUUGCUUUGAAUUAGACUAGAGUUACUAUUUUAUCUUAAUUUUCGUACAACACUCUUUUUUUUUUUUCUUCUUAAUUUUGCUGGUUUAUAAAGUCAAUUUGAACCAUGUGACUGUGAGGGGUUGGACAUACAAUUAUUUAUUGGGCGUAAAAAGUCUCGUGUUAGACAAUUUGGAAUAAGAGAUAAUAUGUAUUUUAACAGCACUUAUAAUUGUUUAUUACCCAAAAAAAGAACACUCGUUAUCAUUCUGUUUUAUUUAACCUUUUUUCUUAUAUAUGUAUUUGAUAUAGUAAAGAUUAUACUAUAUUAAAAUGAUAAUCAUAGCCUUGAACUUUUUUUUGUCAAAAGAAACAAAAAAUGCAUGGAACAUCAACUACACAUACAACCAAUCGACUAUAAUAAACAUAAACAUAAGAAAUAUAUAUGUUAGCAAAAAUGCCCUUCUCUAAAUGCUUGAGAGAUAAUUAUUGAGGGUUAUUUUUGUACAACAAAAGUUAUACAGUUAUGUUUUAUACUUUUUUGUCAAGAUCGAUUUGUUUCAUCGGGUCAAACUCGUGAGUCGACUUACGAGAUUAGAUGGCCAAAAUUAAUAAGUUAUCUCACUCCAAACUAUUUUUUGGGUAGACUCGAUUAUAUCCGGAUAGACUCAUACAAACUCAGAUUCACGAGUCUAAAUAGAGUUUACGAGUUCAAUGUGACUUUAGAAAAUGAAAGCUAAAAUCAUGUUGGACCACAUUGUUUCACACAAAAAAAAAAACUGAAAUAUUCUGUUAUUUAAUAAAUAUUUUCCAAACACUUAAAUCAAAAAGUCAUUUUCAGAGUUUUAAGUCAGAAAAACAUUAAGAACAAUAAUAAAUUAUCGAUAUAAUGAAAACAGAUUACAUAUAAUCAGUCAGAUCAAGAGUUUAUAAUAUACUACACAUAAUCUUGUAAAAAAUAAAAAAACUAACUACACAUAAUAUUCCUAAUAUUUAUAAAUAUGUAUAUGAUACUAACAUUCACUCUUAUUUACUAAUACUUAUUUUUGUGUCAACUCUUCAUUUCUCAAAGAAAGGAGGUUCUAGUAAUCCAAAAUUCAACCACAAAGGAAGUAAAAUCUGAUAAAAAAAUUAUUUCUCCCUAUUAAUAAAAUCAAAUUUCAUAAAUUAUAAUCAAGAUAACUCUGUUUAAUACAAAUGCGUUCAAAUGAAAAACCCAAAAUUACCGAUAUGCAGACCUUUUUUAAACCUUCAAAGCUGCUUUAUGGACCAUGGUUCCCUUGUGUAUUUGAUGACAGCUCUUCUCAACAAGAUCGAGCAGCUUCUCUAAGUUUGCUGCCCAUGAAUUAAGAAUAUCGUUGCUGUACUUCGAUGUUUGGAAACAAACUAUUCCCAUAGGUCUAUCAAUCAUGGCCACCAGAGCCUUUAUCACAACCAUAUCAGACAGAUGCUUCUCAGCUUCCUGAAUUAUGCAAGAAUAAUUGAUUAGGAAAAUCCCGUUGAAAAACAAAUUAAUUAAGAUUAACAGAACAAAACCAUUACUAGCAUUACACACCUCUAGGCUGAGACACAAAAGCUGGGAAAGUCUCGUCAAAGUAAUUCUUGCGUAGUAUUUUGACACAACAAGAAUAUUCUGAAAGAUUACCAAAAUUACUCCAUGUUAAUACUCACAUAAAUAGCUGUUAAACAUAAAGAAGAAGAAGUGCAAGGGCAUAAGUUAAUCACAUGUUCAAUAAUUCUCUGUUUUAGAUCUUCUGCGGCUUUUUCACUUAAAAACUUUCCAGAUACAAUUUCGUUCUCAAACUCGGUCUUAUAUGUCUCCCAAAGAGCAGUCCAUUGGAUGACUUCCAUGGUGACCAGUUGCUUUAAGAGAAGCCUAGACACAAACAUAUAACAGUUACAUCCAAUGACAAGGAAUCCUAAACAAAAUAUUUGAACAUGACCACCAGAUAGCAUGCGAGAUAAAAAAAUAGAUAACAUACUUGAAGUUUGGAAUCUCAAAUAGAUUCUUAUCCUCUAAGGUUGAAUUCAGAAGACUUGAUUGCAGUGGAUCAUGAGGAGCAAGAACCAAGCACCAAGAUAUUUUCUUCAGGAUCUACAUGUAAAGAUAGUAUUUGGAAAUUAGUCGUAUCAUAAUAUCGUUUAGCAAUAGAAUCAAACAGUAACAGAGAUAGCAAAUAGAGGAAGAGAAUCGAAAGCCUACAGGAAUAAACUCAGCAGGGUUUUCUUUAACAUAUGGAAUCUCAUAUAUCGCUUUAUAGCAACGGCAAAUUUCAAGAUAAUCAUUGUUGUGGGAAUAAUACCUAAAAUCACGGACAGAAAAACAGCAUAAGAAAAAAAAAAAAGAUUUCAGGAUCAGCGGCAAGAAAUAUUAUGAACCUGGUACUUGAAAAAUAUGUAGCAUGAAGAUAAAUCAACUAUAUCAAUUCGACAUAAGGUAUAGAAGCAUAGCACCAAAUUUAGAAAGCUAUGUGGAAUUUACUGCCACAUAUACUGCACUGCGACCAAUUCCCUACACUUCAUUAUUGUCACAACUCACGUGUAACAAAUCAAUUACCAAACACAAAAUAAUUUUGAAACAUGAUUCAAAUGGACUGAAUUAUACGCAUUUGAAAAUUAUUUAAACUAUGGGAAGAAAAAAAAACAUCUUGCAAUGGUGAAAGGCUGCCUACCGUAGACCCAAAACAAUGGUUCAACAACCAGACAGCAUAAACAUAGAUAUAAACGAAAAUCGAUAGGAAUUGCAUUAUUUAAAAUUUACAAUGAAAAUAAAAGAAUUGACUUUCUGAAGAUCAAAUUUACACAAUGUGACAGAUUCACUAUAUUUUUGAACAGUAACAACGGUAAAAGACAACGAAUCCGCAAGUUAGGAAGGAUAACUAUAACCAGCAUGUUUAUCAACUUUAAAAUCCAAACUCAUUUUAUAUAUCUAGUUUACGUCUUUUUAAUAAUCCUCUUUCAUAAAAUUUUAAAUGGCAGAUAAACUUUGCAUUAUGUCAAAAUGUCUAACUUAAAACAGGUCAAUGACAGGCAUCAUGCUUUAUUUCAAAAUGGUUAAGAACUGGGAUGUGGCAAACAAGAAUAGAAAGCAGGGAUGAAAAACAAAAAAUUUGGAUUUGUAAAGGAAAUAAGUGAUUAAAAUUUAGAAAUGUCUUUCGUCAAAAAAAAAAAUUUAGAAAUGUCUGUAAAGGAAUUGGAAAUAUGAUCCAAACCAAAAGGUUCCUGUUGUGGCCAUUUAAAUGUAUAGAAUGUUAGAGUUUGCAAAUGGCAAGAACUAUAAAUGGCCUUCAUAGCAUCUCUGUAACUCUGAAGUCUCAACAAUAUAAGAUUUUUUAUUUAUAAUAUAAAUUUUAGAUGGUUCAUGAAUCAUGACAAUAUGUGAAAGUGAGUGAAUUUGUAUUCUGAGAAUUUAAAAUAACGGAGAGUUCAAUUUGUAAAAUGUGCGAAUUGUAUUUAAAUUAUCAGUUCAGUUUAUGAACGGUACAAAAUGGGGUUCAGUUUUUUAUGGUGGAGUUCAUUUCAACUUUAUGAAUUUUUACCUAAUCAUGAGUUCGUAAUAAAUCCUUUUCAACUCCAGUAGAGACGGAAUAUCAGCAGGAGCCUCUUCAACCAUGUUAUCGCCUUCUUUGGGCUUUUUCUUUUCCUUAGAUGCAUCUAUGUCGAAUACUCUUGGACUUAUCUUUCUUGAGAGUAUUUGUGCACGGACAUAAUCCUGACGGUCUAAGCACAACCGAACCUACAAUUUAACAUGGGAGAUGACCAAAUUAGUAAUUUAUUAGCAACAUAAAAAUUUAUCAGCCUGCUACUUUUAUCAUCACUGAAACAAACAAAAAAUGAGACUCGUACUUGUUCCAGAAUGAAUGCAAUCUUCUCAGUUUUAGCCAUGGCACCAAAAGUUUCCACCUGUUAAGAUUACCCAUUAAAUAAGUGAACCAACCAAUAAUUUCUACUAAUCAGUAUCAUCCAAAAACAAAGAUACACAAAAGCCAUGAAAACAUAACAAGUUCACACUGACCGCAAUUUCUUGCAUCAGAUCAGCAGCCUCAGCAAUAAGCCCCUGUUCUUCCUUAAUCUUGGCAAGUUUCUUGACCAAUCGUGCUCUCUCAAUCUCAACGUAUAUCUAAGAAGAACAUGGUACAACAUACAAAUAGCCAAAACAUAUCUCUUAUAAGAUGGAUAACUCUAUGUGAAAAGAUAAUAAAACACAAUGGAGAAUUCAAACAUAACUAACUAACCUUCCCUGCAGAUACACUGAUCAGUGUUUUGAUAAGUUCAAUACGAGUUUCAAUAUCCGGUGUCUUAUCAAUAUAUUCCAUAGCCUGCUGGACCAUAGCGGUUACAGCCUGCUGGACCAUAGCGGUUACAGCCUGCUGGACCAUAGCGGUUACAGCCUGCAUCCAUAUAUAAUAGGCUCAUCAUUAGUACCAUAAAACAUCACUAAUUAUACAACAACUACAAGGUGUCUAAACUGAACCCUAGCAGUGAAAUUAUACAUAAUCUGGAACAAUAGUGAAUUGAUAUAAGUUCCUUAAAUACCGACGAUAGUGAAAUCGGAAACAUCAAAGACUAAAAAAACAAAAACCCUAAACUCUUUCUAACUUAAGCACACAAUGCCUCGUUGCUUAUCUAAACAAAUUUUCCAUCAAUAAUCUCAUCUAACAUUACUGAUCAAUCUGAAAUUGUAAACAACAAUGAACAAUUUACAUUCUAAAAAACCAAAACCCUAAACCUCAGCGCAUUGCAUCAAAUACCUGCUUAAGCUGACCGCGUCGUUUAGAUAAAACGACAAUCUGAUCGUUUAGAGUUUUCCAAGCUUCGGCUUCAAAGCAGAGUUGCAAAAUGUCAAUUGCAGCUUUUCUGGUGCCGGCGAUUUCACCGGCGAGCCACAUCUGCUUCUCUACGUUCAGCAAUUGCUCUAUCUUUGCAUCUAAAUUCUCUGACGCCUACAAAACAAAUUGAAAAGCGAUUAUAGCAUUAGAAUAACAUCAAAGUGAAAAUCAAAAAAGAAGAAAACAGUAGCGGAAACCGAAAUAGAGGAAUCUGGAUGGAUGAAUACCAUGUUUGAGUGAGGUUUGCGCGAGAUGAGAAUUGAAAUCGAAAAGCUAAGAAAAAGUGUGAGAACUAGGGGUGGCAAAACGGCUCGCUACUUUNNNNNNNNNNNNNNNNNNNNNNNNNNNNNNNNNNNNNNNNNNNNNNNNNNNNNNNNNNAAAUCUCAAUCCAAUUUUCUCUCAUAUAAAAGUUCACUUCACCGUCUGCUCCCUUCUUCCAAAAUUAGGGUUUCAUUCAUUUCAUCCGCCGUUUGCUCCCUUCUUCCACUUCGCCCCCGUGAUACUCAUCCACUCAAAAGAUUGAUUAAUUGCUGCUAGUUUUUUGAUGUUUUGUGUCCCUGAAUUUCAUUAACUAUGUUGUGAUCUUUGGCUUUUUGGUAUUGACAUAGUUGUAAUUUUUUGAGCCAUGUUUUGGUGGAACUGGAUGCAUCACAGGCUGUUUGCUUUUUUCAAAUGGGAAUUAUCACUUGCUAGUAUUUAUCUUUUUAUCUUAUAUUGUAAUGAAUUAUUUAUUAACUUAGUUGAUGUUUCUAUUAGUUUAAUUAAGGGUAAUUGUAAGUGUUAGUUUAAUUAAGGGUAAUUGUAAGAAAUUACUUAUUAACUUAAUUAAUGUUUCUUGUAGUAUUUUUUUUUAACAUUAACUAAGAGGCAAGAAUUGUGAAGUUAUAAUUCAAAUAGUUAAAAAAAAAUAAAAAUAAAGUAUUUGGCGGGCCGGCCCGCCAACUCGCCAAUAAACGGGCGGGCUUGAGUUGUUGAGCCCAGACAACUAAGUUGCCCCGCCCCGCCCCGCUUCGCUUUUGGGCGGGCCUAAACGGACCUAAAUAAGAAAAAUUUAAGUAAAAGAAAAAACAUUGAUAAAACAAUAAAAUUAAGUGCAGCACUUUGAAAUCCAUAUCCACCCACUUGCCCGACCCAACCCACUAUUUUGGGUUGGAUUGGGUGGGUUUGACCGGGUCGACCGGAUUUGCCCAACCCAUGUACACCCCUACUUGAGACAACUUCAAAAGGAUGUUAUAUUCUUUUUCCUUCAUUAGAAUUUUUUUCAUUGAGUUUUUUCUAGUAAAGAUUUUAAUGAGACAUAUCCUUGAUGAACAUUCAAAGGGGAGUGUUAUGAAUAUUUAGUGGAUGUCUAUAUAGGUUCUUGACCCAUGUUAUUGGUCCUUUACAUUUGCCUAUAAAUAGAACAUAUAUAUCACGUAAAACUCAUACUAAAUAAUACAGACUUUGUUAUUCUCCUCUCUUCUCCCUUUCUCUUUAGUCCCUCACCGUUCAUCUAAAACAGUCACUUUAGUCAUCAACGUUCCUCUUCCUUUAUGCUCUAUUUUGUCUUCAAUAUGGUCCCUGUCUACGUGGCAUCAAAUUUUAAAGAGAAGUGACAUGUAUUGGUCAACAAACCGUCCACGUCAACACUAUCAAACGGUUCUUUGUUAAAAAUUAACGUCAUGAGCUAUUCUAACUAACGGAAGUUACAUUCAGGAAUUUUAAAAUGUUUGUUGAUGAUUCAUGGACUACAAUAACAGCGAGUGUCACUUUCAAGGACCAAAGUUUACUCUAUAUAUUUGAUAUAGUAAAGAUUAUAUUAUUUUAAAAUGAUAAUCAUAUCCUUGAACUUUUUUCUGUCAAAAGAAAGAAAAAAUGCAUGGAACAUCAACUAUACAUACAAUUCGUCAAAAAAAUCAACUAUACAUACAAAUUAACUAUAAUAAAUAUGGGUAAUGCUAAUGCACACCCACUCAAAAAUUAGAAGGUGUGAAAUUGUGCAUUAGCAAGCUACACCUUUCUACUUUUAACAAAAAAAAAACAAUUUUCUAUUUAUUCAAAAGUAAUUAAAUCUAUGUUUUUUUUUUUUCAUUUUGCAACUCAACACAACUUUUUUAUUUCUCCUUGUCUCUAUCCACCGCUCAUGUGUUAAAACAUUCAGAUGUCUUCGAGAAAAAGAGCUAUCAGUGAACCAUUUUCUCAUUUCCAUUAAAAUUCUACCUCAAUCCAUUAAUUUGAAACCAUUUUGUCAUGCCUUUAAUAUUUGUGUGUUCCAUAUAUACUUCCAUUAUGUCUUAAUUUAAUUUGUAUGCAUUUUUUUGGUCUGGAGAUCAUGUUGCCACAUUCAAAAUUUUUGCCUUUAAUGAAAUACAAUCAGUUUCUUUCAGCAACAAAGAUGAUGGGUUGAAACUAGGAGAAAUAAAAAAGUUGUGUUGAGUUGCAAAAUGACCAAAAAAGACAUAGAUUUAAUUACUUUUGAAUAAAUAGAAAAUGGUUUUUGUGACAAAAGUAGAAAGAUGUAGCUCGCUAAUACACACAUUCUAAAUUUUGAGUGGGUGUGCAUUAGCAUUAUCCAAUAAAUAUAAGAAAAAUAUAUGUUAGCAAAAAUGCCCUAUAAUAAACCAAUAAAUAUUCAUUUUUCAUGAUUAUGUAAUGAAUGUGUAUCUACUAUCUAACAUCUUCCUUUUCAUGAAUGUGUAUCUAUUAUUUUUUAUUCAUGUACCAUCUAUAAAUACAAUUAUACAAUCAUAUUCUAUCCCAAACAUAUCAUAUUAUAAACCAAAGUAUAAUUUGAAAAAGAAAUCUAUGUGGUAACAAAUGAGAGUUUACAUCUGCCACCUAUUGUGUACCACCAUUUGUACCAUAAACAAUAGAUCCUGCAAAAGCAAACCUUAGACAUCAAAAUUCUAUUCCAACCAAAUUGGUCUAAACAAUUAAUAUCUAUCAAAACUUUUGAAACACCGACGCAAAUAAUGGAAACGACAUUUACAAUCACAUGUCGAUCACAUUAAUAAUUUAAAAAAAUUAAUUAAUCGAAUAUAAUCUCAUGUGUCAGUAUCGAACACCAAACACAUAAAUCAUCAUCAGAAGUAUCGGUGCCACAAAACUCAAAAUCCAAAACAAAAACAAUUAACAACUCACCAAGUGUUGGCAUGAGAAGAGACAGAACCAAAAUUCCAGCAACCUUAAGUGGCACACCAACUUUAAGCAUGUCUUUAAUUUCAAUAUGUCCAGUAGCAAAUCCAACAACAUUUGAAGGUGUUGAAGUUGGAAGCCAAAAUGCAAAUUCAGUAGCUAUACCACCAGGGAUCAUAAGAAGAAGUGGAUGCACAUUAAUAGUUUUGGCUAUGUUAUACAAAAGUGGUACAAGAAGUGUGGCUGUGGCAUCAUUGGAAGUAAUGAAUUCAGUGAUUAUGCUACAUAGUAAAGUAACAGCAGGAACAAUUGCUAAGUAUGGAACAUCUUUUAAGAAUUCUAAUNNNNNNNNNNNNNNNNNNNNNNNNNNNNNNNNNNNNNNNNNNNNNNNNNCCAGCUCCUAGUAGCAAAAUUAGGUUCCAUGGUAACUUUUUGCAUUCAUUCCAACUCAUCAGCUUUUCACCAUCUUGCUUCAUGUUUGGGAUUAUGAACAAUAAUACGGCUGCCAAAACCUACAUUAAUUGCAUAACAUUUUUAUAUUGUAGACUACAAUUCUUGGUGUAAAUGAGUCAUUUUAGAUUAAAUUAAAAGAGAUUUUAUUUUUUGAAGAGAAAAGAAAAUAAUAGUUUUUUUAAGGAAAAGUGGUAUGAUUACUGAUAAUCCAAAGUUCGAUCGUAAGGUAAGUAAAAUAUAGUCAAGAAUUAUUCCUACCAAGAAUCGAAUUUGGAUUCUCCCGAACGAUUGAUUCGUCCUAAGAGGAGGAGGAUUUCUCUUUCCACCCUCCAAAUUUAUUUUUUCGUGCAGAAAACUUCA
rnacentral:lncRNA from 1 species